GUCACCCUGAGGUGCCUGCCAAGAAGCCCAUUUAUCCCUGGUUUGUUCCUGCAGAAAGAAACCUGGGGACAUGCAGUCGCCCACACCUGAGGAAAAUAGAGGCUGACCUAAAAGCCCUAAACAUUUUAAUUUGCAAAACCAUUGUUGUAUUAAAUCACAAAUGGGAGGCAAUUUAGCAAUGCAUCUCCAAAAUUGCACCAGGCUCUGGCUGUGACUUUGCAAUUUAUGUUGAAAAUGAACAUUGAACUCUGUGGCAUAAAAAACAGAUUGUUGAUUUUGUGAUUAAUUUGGUCUCUAAGGCCAAGGAAACUGUUGAUGCUGUAUAUCAGUUAUAAAGUUGUGGUAGAAUUUGUGGAGCAAAAUGAAAAAUCAAUAUCGUAACUACAGGAUAGCUCUCUUAAAAUCCAAGGUGCGUUUUGUUGCAAAUUGCAUGGAAGAAACUGACCCCCAAAGGGACAAACCUACCUUCAUUUUUUUUCACAAGUGUAUAUCUAGGGUAUAGAGGUAGAGGGAAAUGUUGGGUGUUAUUACAGUGUUGCUGGGGGUACUAGGGGAAAGAUCAAAUUGUUGCAAUUUAGAGUAAAACCUCACUUACAGUUAUGUGUGUCCCGAGGCAACCUCAAGGAGUGAUCUCUCUCAGAUGGCUGUGCACUCAAAAGCCAGGAUGCCUGGGUCACGCUCCUGCCUCCGCUAAUCUGCAGACUGGUGGCGUAUUCAUCACUUCCUCUUCCCGCCAGAGCUUCACCCAGAGCCGCAGCCCUGCUCUGCCCCUCUAAAACCCUGUGGGUCAGCCUCAGUGCCUCAGCUAUCCGCAUUGUCCUGCUGCAGAGGGGACAACACCUUCCCACGGCCACUUCCCAGGCCCUCUCUUAUUUGUGGAAGAAUUUCAGAGUGUUUUGCUGACUCCAAGAAGAUCAAACAACAGGAAGACAGGGGUGUUUCCCUCAGCGUGGACAAAGGACUUAGUCUUUUACCUUAGAAUUUCUGUUUUCUCUGAUGUCUCAGAGAAAUAUACUCCCAUACUUUUGUUGUUUGCCUGUUUCCAACUGUGGUGGGACUGUCUCAGCACACUCAUCUGUAAAUUGAAAAUAAACGACAACAAAGAAAAUUGCCUUUCUGAUAAA